rnacentral:rRNA from 1 species
AUACGAAGGGGGCUAGCGUUGUUCGGAAUUACUGGGCGUAAAGCGCGCGUAGGCGGAUUGGUCAGUUAGGGGUGAAAUCCCAGGGCUUAACCCUGGAACUGCCUCUAAUACUGCCAGUCUUGAGUUCGGGAGAGGUGAGUGGAAUUCCUAGUGUAGAGGUGAAAUUCGUAGAUAUUAGGAAGAACACCGGUGGCGAAGGCGGCUCACUGGCCCGAUACUGACGCUGAGGCGCGAAAGCGUGGGGAGCAAACAGGAUUAGAAACCCUAGUAGUCC